rnacentral:lncRNA from 1 species
UAAAAUCACAGAAUUCAAAUAUGGAAUUAAAGAAAUAUUCAUUAAGAUCAAAGAAGUUUAUACAAUUCCAAGAAUAAAAAAAAAAUACAAAACCCUUAUCCUUUUGUUAGGGCUGCAUCCGGCCCUAGAGAGGAGAUUAGCCUUCCAUGAAGAGUUGAACAGCUGCACUGCAGGGAGACUUCAUGAUGAUUGGCUCCUUCCUCCCGUCAGCUCCCUCUCCACAGAUCAUUAACUCUUCCUUUGGAAAAUCAUUCCCAAAGUACCCAAACUUCUCUCCUUCUAUUUUUUAUUCUAUGGGACUCGGCCUGUGA